AUUGAACGCUGGCGGCAGGCCUAACACAUGCAAGUCGAACGAGUGGCGGACGGGUGAGUAAUGUCUGGGAAACUGCCUGAUGGAGGGGGAUAACUACUGGAAACGGUAGCUAAUACCGCAUACCAUCAGAUGUGCCCAGACGGGAUUAGCUUGUUGGUGGGGUAACGGCUCACCAAGGCGACGAUCGCUAGCUGGUCUGAUAGGAUGACCGACCAACCUGGAACUGAAACACGGUCCAGACUACUACGGGAGGCAGCAGUGGGGAAUAUUGCACAAUGAGAGCAAGCCUGGUGCAGCCAUGCCGCGUAUAUGAAGAAGGCCUUCGGGUUGUAAAGUACUUUCAGCGGGAAGGCGUUACCCGCAGAAGAAGCACCGGCUAACUCCGUGCCAGCAGCCGCGGUAAUAC
rnacentral:rRNA from 1 species